CUCCUCUUCUUCGUUUUUGUUCUUCCUUCCCACUCUAGUCGUCUUUGCAUCCUCUUGCCAUCAUCAUCAUUGCGUCUGCUCCUCUUCUAAAGAUCAUUCAGAAUUGCACAAGCGCACGUUUCAACAGCAAGCAAAAUAGCGAAAAAUAUAGCUCUUCGGACCCUUUUUCUCAGGCGCAAAA
ensembl:ncRNA T01B10.9 ncRNA